rnacentral:rRNA from 1 species
CUACGGAGGGUCCGAGCGUUAUCCGGAAUCAUUGGGUUUAAAGGGUCCGUAGGCGGGAAUCUAAGUCAGUGGUGAAAUCUUGCAGCUCAACUGUAAAAUUGCCAUUGAUACUGGAUUUCUUGAAUUAGUGUGAAGUGGUUAGAAUGUGUAGUGUAGCGGUGAAAUGCAUAGAUAUUACACAGAAUACCAAUUGCGAAGGCAGAUCACUAACACUAUAUUGACGCUGAGGGACGAAAGCGUGGGGAGCGAACAGGAUUAGAAACCCCAGUAGUCC